rnacentral:lncRNA from 1 species
GGGAGAGGAAGGGUUGCGCGCGCGCGCGCGCCCACCCGCCCCGUGUCACGGGGUGACAGUGCCCGGGGACCCGAGGUGGCUUCCUUCCUCCCCGGGCCCUGCCGGCACGGCCGCCGCCUCCGGGCCGGCUGCGCGGCCCCGGGAGCUGCCGGCCGCCCGCCCCGACUCUCCUGCCGGCGGCAGCGGAGGAAGGGGGAGGCAGGAGGUGCGUGGCCGGUCGGGGGAUGGUGCCGCUUCUUCGUGUUUUCUUGUGUUUGUAGGGGGGAGUUCCCUGUUCGCGGCCGGGCGCCGGGGUAAUACCGCUUCGGGAGGCGCGGAGCUGGAGGAAAGUGGGGAAUUUCUUUUUAAAAAAAGUUGUUGACAGUGCCCGGUGACCCGAGGUGGCUUCCUUCCUCCCCGGGCCCUGCCGGCACGGCCGCCGCCUCCGGGCCGGCUGCGCGGCCCCGGGAGCUGCCGGCCGCCCGCCCCGGCUCUCCUGCCGGCGGCAGCGGAGGAAGGGGGAGGCAGGAGGUGCGUGGCCGGUCGGGGGAUGGUGCCGCUUCUUGGUGUUUUCUUGUGUUUGUGGGGGGGAGUCCCCUGUGCGCGGCCGGGCGCCGGGGUAGUGCCGCUUCGGGAGGCGCGGAGCUGGAGGAAAGAGGGGAAUUUUUUUUUUAAAAAAAGUUGUUUUCUUGGUGAGGGAAGGGAGAGGGUUGUGGAAACGUUCAUCUCCCUUCCUCCUCCUCCGUAGGAAAAGUGAAGUCACUUCCCAAGAGCCAAAACUAGCAAACUACUGUCCUAAAUCUGUGCCGUUUACAUGGCUCAGAUUCAUCCACGGUUUGUUUAUUGUGGAUUUUUUUUUUUCCCUCUUUUUAUUUUUUUUUUUUUUUUUAAUUCUGCUUCCCCAGUUAGGCCCUCCCUAACUGUGAUCCUGGUACAAAAAUCCUUGUCUUUAGACGGAGUACUUCAAAACUUGCUGCAACCAUCUGAAGUGGUUACUUUUUUGGUUAGAACAACCUCCUGAACCAGCUCACUUGCCUGGUCAUAUGGACAUUGUCUCAGACCAGAGGAGGAAGAAGUGUGUUGGUAGGAAAGAGGGGACAACUGCACUCUUGAUACAGUCACGUAAGUUGUGAUGGGUGAUGCAUUUAUCUGGGUCAUGGUUUUAUGGUCAGUACGUUAAUGUAAGAAGGCACAACUGUUGAAAGAAGCUACUCUGGGUUUUUCAUU